UGGGGAAUAUUGCACAAUGGGCGCAAGCCUGAUGCAGCCAUGCCGCGUGUAUGAAGAAGGCCUUCGGGUUGUAAAGUACUUUCAGCGAGGAGGAAGGCGGUAAGGUUAAUAACCUUAUCGAUUGACGUUACUCGCAGAAGAAGCACCGGCUAACUCCGUGCCAGCAGCCGCGGUAAUACGGCGGGGGCAAGCGUUAAUCGGAAUUACUGGGCGUAAAGCGCACGCAGGCGGUCUGUCAAGUCGGAUGUGAAAUCCCCGGGCUCAACCUGGGAACUGCAUUCGAAACUGGCAGGCUAGAGUCUUGUAGAGGGGGGUAGAAUUCCAGGUGUAGCGGUGAAAUGCGUAGAGAUCUGGAGGAAUACCGGUGGCGAAGGCGGCCCCCUGGACAAAGACUGACGCUCAGGUGCGAAAGCGUGGGGAGCAAACA
rnacentral:rRNA from 1 species